AGUGCACGCCGGGACCCAAGAUUCCCGGAGGCCGACUCCGCCCCCGCCUCGUGAAUGACGGGAAUUGUAGUCCCUGUGGGACGCGAGUUCUCUGGCUGCCCAAGAGGCCGCGAGGCAUGCUGGGACCGCUAGCCCUUCCGGGGCGCCUCCCGGACUUCGGGUCCUGGCACCCUGGCGGAUAACCAAAGACUCCGCCUUCCCAGGAGCCCCUGCGGCCCGGCUCGAAGAUGGCGGCGGAAAAGGUCCGGCUUCCCUGAAGCAGCUGCGAUGGAGCCUCCCCCGACCCCGGGGCCGGAGCGCCUCUUUGACUCGCACCGGCUCCCGGGUGAUGGCUUCCUGCUGCUUGCGCUGCUGCUCUACGCGCCCGUCGGGUUCUGCCUCCUCGUCCUGCGGCUGUUUCUCGGGAUCCACGUUUUCCUGGUCAGCUGUGCGCUGCCAGACAGCGUACUUCGCAGGUUCGUUGUACGGACUAUGUGUGCGGUGCUGGGGCUCGUGGCCCGGCAGGAGGACUCCGGACUCCGGGAUCACCGCGUCAGAGUUCUCAUUUCCAACCACGUGACACCUUUUGACCACAAUAUUGUCAACCUGCUCACCACCUGUAGCACCCCUCUACUCAAUAGUCCUCCCAGCUUUGUGUGCUGGUCUCGGGGCUUCAUGGAGAUGGAUAGGCAAGGGGAGUUGGUGGAAUCACUCAAGAGAUUCUGUGCUUCCACGAGGCUUCCCCCCACACCUCUGCUGCUCUUCCCCGAGGAGGAAGCCACCAAUGGCCGAGUGGGGCUCCUACGCUUCAGUUCUUGGCCAUUUUCUAUCCAGGACGUGGUGCAGCCUCUUGCUCUGCAAGUUCAGAGACCCCUGGUCUCUGUGACGGUGUCAGAUGCCUCCUGGGUCUCAGAACUGCUGUGGUCACUUUUCGUCCCUUUCACGGUGUAUCAAGUAAGGUGGCUUCAUCCUGUUCAUCGCCAGCUGGGGGAGGGGAAUGAGGAGUUUGCACUCCGUGUACAACAGCUUGUGGCCAAGGAAUUGGGCCAGACAGGAACACGGCUCACUCCAGCAGACAAAGCAGAACACAUGAAGCGACAAAGACACCCCAGAUUGCACCCCCAGUCAGCCCAGUCUUUACCUUCCUCUCCUGGCCCUUCUCCUGAUGUGCAGCUGGCAACUUUAGCUCAGAGAGUCAAGGAGGUUUUGCCCCAUGUUCCUUUGAGUGUCAUCCAGAGAGACUUGGCCAGGACUGGCUGUGUAGACUUGACCAUCACUAAUCUGCUUGAGGGGGCUGUAGCUUUCAUGCCUGAAGACAUCACUGAGGGAACUCAGUCCCUGCCUGCAGCCUCUGCCCCAAAGGCAUUCGAUGCGUGUUUAAUGCUGAUGACUUCGCAAGCCCUCUGACAUUGUGAUCACCUCAGUUCCCCAGCUCUGGCCUGGUGACCCCUCAGCCCACAGCCCUAACAUUUGCCAAGUCUUCCUGGGCCCGUCAGGAGAGCCUGCAGGAGCGCAAGCAGGCACUGUAUGAAUAUGCAAGAAGGAGAUUCAGAGAGAGACAAGCCCAGGAGGCUGAAUGAACUCAAAGGAACAGGAUGGCACCCAGAUCGCAGGACGGAGACUGGGGGCAGCCCUCACCCAACUCACAACUGGCCGGAUGAGUGGGUGGUAAAAAGGGAAGGAUGGGGCUCCCCCAAUCUCGAUUAAAUUCAGGGUUUUCACUCAAGGUCUCUGUUGC